rnacentral:misc_RNA from 1 species
GAUCGCCCGAUCGUUGAGCUGCAUUGGCGGGAUUUCGCCGUCUACGUUUCUCUUUCUUCGCGGACGAACACGCGCUGGGCCUGCAACGGCAGGAUCCCACGGUCCCUGACGGGAUAUGCGUUAGGGGCUUGUAGCUCAGUUGGUUAGAGCGCGCGCUUGAUAAGCGUGAGGUCGGAAGUUCAAGUCUUCCCAGGCCCACCACUUUCAUCGAGUGAGCAUUCGUCUUCUGGUUACGGGGCCAUAGCUCAGCUGGGAGAGCGCGUGCUUUGCAAGCAUGAGGUCGUCGGUUCGAUCCCGUCUGGCUCCACCAGAUGGUUUGAUCAUCGACUGAUCGUGCACCGUCGUCCGCGAAACAUCACUUCGCAUCCUGCUAGUCUGGAUAGACAGCAAGUUGCGUGUUUUCUGACAUCGUAAAGAGGAGAUCGAUCCGAGUUGGGUCGUGUAGCAGAUUGCUGCGCGGGCCCUUCAUUAUCUCCGGAUCAUUUUCGGCGCUCGACGCUGACCGCAAGGUUGGCUGCGAGUUGUAAAAUGAUCCUUUUAGCGAAGCUUGACCGCCUCGCUAUCGGAACGAUCUUACGAAGCAAGCUGGUCUUUCUAGUCAAUGUCCGGCUGCGACAAUCGUAUCUUCGAGGGUACGUGCCUUUAAUGGCAGUUGCGCAGACAACAUUCUGCCGAGUGUGUGGACAUUGAUAAUGAGAGCAAUCAAGUGCCUUAAUGGUGUUCGGUGGAUGCCUUGGCGCUGAGAGGCGAUGAAGACGUGCUACGCUGCGAUAAGCCGUGGGGAGCUGCGAAGAAGCUUUGAUCCGCGGAUUU